GCCUACCAUGGUUUUAACGGGUAACGGGGAAUUAGGGUUCGAUUCCGGAGAGGGAGCCUGAGAAACGGCUACCACAUCCAAGGAGGCAGCAGGCGCGCAAAUUACCCAAUCCCGAUACGGGGAGGUAGUGACAAAUAAAUAACAAAUACAAGGGCUUUAUAGUCUGUAAUUGGAAUGGGUACGAUUCAAAAUCUCUUAACGAGGAACAAUUGGAGGGCAAGUCUGGUGCCAGCAGCCGCGGUAAUUCCAGCUCCAAUAGCGUAUAUUAAAGUUGUUGCAGUUAAAAAGCUCGUAGUUGAAUUUCGGGAUUAGUACGUUGGCCGUGCCUUAGGUACGUACUGGUGUUACUGGUUCCUACCUUCUGACGAACCAUCAUGUCAUUAAUUUGGUGUGGCGGGGAAUCAGGACUGUUACUUUGAAAAAAUUAGAGUGUUUAAAGCAGGCUCGCGCUUGAAUACAUUAGCAUGGAAUAAUGAAAUAGGACGUUGACCCUAUUUUGUUGGUUUCUAGGAUUGACGUAAUGAUUAAUAGGGAUAGUUGGGGGCAUUAGUAUUCAAUUGUCAGAGGUGAAAUUCUUGGAUUUAUUGAAGACUAACUACUGCGAAAGCAUUUGCCAAGGAUGUUUUCAUUAAUCAAGAACGAAAGUUAGGGGAUCGAAGACGAUCAGAUACCGUCGUA
rnacentral:rRNA from 1 species